rnacentral:rRNA from 1 species
AAAUUACUGGGCGUAAAGCGUGCGCAGGCGGUUCGCUAAGACAGAUGUGAAAUCCCCGGGCUUAACCUGGGAACUGCAUUUGUGACUGGCGGGCUAGAGUAUGGCAGAGGGGGGUAGAAUUCCACGUGUAGCAGUGAAAUGCGUAGAGAUGUGGAGGAAUACCGAUGGCGAAGGCAGCCCCCUGGGCCAAUACUGACGCUCAUGCACGAAAGCGUGGGGAGCAAACAGGAUUAGAUACCCUGGUAGUCCACGCCCUAAACGAUGUCAACUAGUUGUCGGGCCUUCAUUGGCUUGGUAACGUAGCUAACGCGUGAAGUUGACCGCCUGGGGAGUACGGUCGCAAGAUUAAAACUCAAAGGAAUUGACGGGGACCCGCACAAGCGGUGGAUGAUGUGGAUUAAUUCGAUGCAACGCGAAAAACCUUACCUACCCUUGACAUGUACGGAAUCCUGCUGAGAGGUGGGAGUGCCCGAAAGGGAGCCGUAACACAGGUGCUGCAUG